rnacentral:lncRNA from 1 species
CUACUGUGCUGGCCAGAGAGUGAGUCAAGUGACAUACAUACACAAGAAAUAUUUAGUUAUGAGGAUUGAAGAAAUUAAUGAUCAUUCAGUCAUUGAGGAUUUGAGAAGAGACAUCAAUGUUCCAGUAGAGGUGUUAUUGAAGUUGUGGCUGUCAAUAGUCCUUUUAUUGAUGCUAAGUAUAUGGUAAGGAAAUAAUGCUAUAUGAUUUGCAUAUUUUUUGCUAUGAGAACUUCUGCAACUGAAACUCAAAGUUUAGGUGUUGAACUCAUAGUUUUGCAGUAGUUAGUUUUGUACUACUUUGUAUCAAAAUUGCAUCAGACCAUGCUGCACUGUAUUUUGAGCAUAGAAAAAUUACUUAACACCUUUAAUUUACAGAGCCUCACGUGUUUCAAGUAUGAAUAAGAACUACGAACUCUUUUUGUGCGAUUUAAAUACAUUUCCAGAGUUUUUAUUUGUUAGUACAUGUUGUCUAAAGUAACAUUUGCCCAGAGAGAGAAGCAUGCCCCUCUCUCGUUAUUAUUAUUAUUAUUAGAAGGUAUUAAAUUCAAAAUAAACAAUUUCAUUUACUUGAAGCACUUGAAAAGUUUGGUCGGUUGACUCCAGGUAUGAGCAGCUCCCGAGCUUGAUGGCUGGAUGUGUGCACACAUGUAAUGGGGUAUCAUGGUCAUGUUGCUUGGUGUGCAGAGGCAACCUCAUUUUUGGACCAAAAAGAGGGGCGAUGACGAUGAUGACUGGCUGAAACAAUCAUGUCUUGAGCAAUCAAGAUAGCCUUGGCUUGUGGGACUAAACAGAGCUGAAAAAGUCGGUGUCACCAUUGGAGUUUCCCUUAGAGCCUACCCUUACCUCUGUUGUAGCCUGCUUAAUUUUAUUGCCGAUGUUGGAUGAUAUGUGCCUUGGACGGUCGUUCUGAUGAGUGAUACUCUCGGACCAGGUCUAUUUCAACACACACGAACCCAUUGACCUCCCAUGUUCCUGGGGAGCGUUGCAUGUCGGAAAAUUUAGGGGUUGUGUCACACAAAGUUCUGCAUUGACACUUAGAAAGUAAGUGAAAAGCGAUAUGCCGUUUUUUGAGGCUAUCUACAAUCCCGUUAAAAGGCAACUGCUAAACACUAAAGGGCAAUGGAACUCAAUUUGUCGGUAUUCGCAGUUUGAUAAAUUAUAUUAGUAGUAUUUCUUGGAUUUAUAUAAGAAAAACAAAAAUAGUUACCUUUGUGUGAAUUACAGUGCUAAUGAUAAAUUCUUUGUAUCAGACAUGAAUGGACAUAUUCAAGAUUUCCUUUCACCUAGGCUUGGUUAGUUGGCCACUUCAAUUCCCACUUUCUGUCAUGUAAUCUUGAUGUCGAUAUUUCGACAUUACAUACAGAAUAUGAUGCAUUAUGUAGAAGUUACUAAUGGUCAAAAAAAUUCUGGAUAUGACACUUGCUUACUCCUAUUCACAUUAUGUAGAAGUUGCAUAAGGCAGAACAAGAAUAAGAACAUUUGUCAGUUUUUUCAUGUGCUGGUUCAGCAGCGGGCAAUGCUCACGACAGAGUUGGGCGUACAUCAUAUAUAUACAUAUGUUGUCGUGUCUUAAUAAAUGGAGAUGAGAUAUCUAUCCGACUGUCAUCCUUCCCAGACUUGGGUUUGUCAUCUCUGUCGGCGUCCACCUGCGCUUCCUUCAUUGGUUGUCAUUUCUUUGUACACUGCUGUAAUUUAGAGAUCAUAAUAUAUUUUCCAUGGAUACAAUUGAAUACGACACCCAAUUUGCUAUAUAAUUGUUCAGCUCUCUCUCAUAGCGAUUCAUACAAAAUAUCAUGCAUAAUGGUCCCAGCUUAAGUAGAAAAUAACCAUUGGAUUGUUCAAACUUUGCUCGUGUUUCGCAGGGCACCAUAACUCUAAUCCGACAUGAGCAGUCCAACCACGACAGUGAGCAGUGGAACCGCAAGAUAGAGAUAGAUACAAGUAGAAUAUAACUGGUCAUAUUUCUAAAAUGAUCACACUACUUAUGGUGCCGGAAGAGAAGGCAUCAGUGAUAGUGGGCUAGGUGAUGAGGGCAUCAAUACAAAGAGAUUAAUUCACAACUUUGUUCUUGAUAGGUUGUACAAAUAUACAAGGUACUACUGUUUCCUUUUAUGUUUAAAUAGCUUUGUGAGUACAACUAUAUGAAAAUUCUGCGAUUCAUGGUGCGGAAGCGGGCAUCUUUGUUUCCCUGACCAAAAAUUCUUAGUUUCAUGCCUCCACGGUAUAAUUUAGAGGCACAGUCCAAUGAGAGAUUCCUACUUAGCUAGCUAAUAUAUAACGUUUGAUGGUACUGUCUUGUGUUGUAAAUACAAGAUAUGCUACAUGAGCAUUACUUUUAUUUUGAAUUUAAUUUUGUGUUUGAGCCUCUUUUACAUAUUAAGUGUAAUAUCACAGACUUUCUUCUUUCAGGGUUAACUGGCCAUGCAAAAACUGUUGUGAGGCAUUAAAUGGUACUAUAUGUUUUUGGCCUGCUUUUGUUCACUUUUGUCCUUUCCAAAGUGUAAUAAGAAAAGAAAGUCAAAAUAGGCUCAACCAUGACUACUCUGCUCUUGUGAUCACCAAUUUCUGCUCCAUUGCGCACAAGAAAGUAGUGACUAUUUAUUUGCUUAAACAAUAUGUCCAACCACCAAUUUCUGCCUGUCCUGCUAAUACUCCUUUAUGGAUGUAUCGCACAAAUUUCAGUUAUUAGAUAUGAAAUGUAGGUUCUCUACACAGAGCUGGGUCCAAUGGUCAAUGCAGCUCUAUGUUGUGCUAUCUUGCUAUUGGGCUCUUUUUUCGUUACUUAAAAUGGACAUAUAUCUCUGAUGUUAAAUUCGUGCUUCAUUGCUUAUAUCCAAAAUAACCAUGUUAGUACACUGAAGCCAAUUUCUACAUUGUUAGUGAAGUUGGCUAAAUAGUUUUUGCGCCACUAAGAUAUAUAUGUGCACUGCAUUCUAACCCUGCAAAUUGUUGUGCUAUUAGUUUAAUCCAAAAUAUAAUUAUGUUUGUGUCUCGACAUAUGCUUGUGAUGCGUCGUGCUACCAGAGGCCAACAUUAUCCAGUAUCAUAGCGACGCUAAAAAUGCCUAUUGGUUACUCCGCAUAUUCUCAUCUGAUUUCUCAUAUAUAGAUAUUAAUUUCCUUUCAUGGGAGGCCUUCAUUACAUUUCAGCGGCAGUUGCGGAUGUGGUCGGCGGUUGAGGGAGGGUCUCCGACUAGAGCAGCAGGAGCAAGGAGCUCAAGGAGGUUCAGGUUUGCCUCUACAUCCUCUCUCUUUCCUCCACUUUGUUCUUGCAUUUAGAGGAUACAACUUGUGAUCAUGUUAUAUUCUGCUUUUGUCAGUUUGCUGGUCCAUAUUAAUUUCCUCGAGCUUAUUUUCACAUCUCGUCAUAUUUACACCUCUCCGCCGACUGCCACCUAUCAUGGAGGGAGAUGGCUUGGCCAGGCCGUCAAGACCCAUCGGCAACUUCCAGCAGGCGUCGUCCCGUACUUCUGCAUGUAAACUGAAUUGAUUUACCAAUAAAAAUCUGGACAACUCAUUCCAGUCGAUAAUAACCAUUGUGGCAUUACCAUGAUAUGUCAUGUAUCUGCUCUGAGUUGCACUAUGUUGCAAAAAGUACAAUAAGAGAUAGAAUGUAUGCACUAUGGCUAGCAGUAACUUUUUUUUGACUUGUACAACAUUUGAUCUAUCUAUUUCUGCAGGAUAUUCCUCUUGUUGCAACCUUUUCCCAUAGAAUCAAAAGGAAUUAGAUUGAAGAAAUUGCAGGAGGUACUACUUCGUGUUCCAUUAGUCUUACUUUUGGAGGCUUGUCUAUAUAUAGUAUUAGUGUCGGUGUGUCAAUAGUAGUAUUAGUUUUGGAGGCUUGUCUAUAUUAGUCUUAUUUUUUGGAUUACGUUUCUUUCCACCUGCAUCCUCUCUUCAUAAUGGAUUACGUUUCUUUGUUAUUGCCAUGUGUUACUUUUUCUUAUGACUGUGACCGUCAGUGCCCUUAACAGUGGUUGUUCUUGCUUUAUGGCUGCCUUCUCAGUGCACUUUUAUUAGUUCUAAUACAUUAAUAUAAUAUGCUCGAUUGACCAUAUUAAUUAUAUAUUUCACUUCACCGGGGCUGUUGGUCGAAGUGUUGGUUAAAAUAUUUUGGUGGCAGUGUAUAAAACUAAUUGUUGUACAGCAUUGUUAAGUGCACUUUUGAGCUUUGAGUAGACAACUAUGGUCAUAAUUACCUUAAAGGAUCGUUAGUAUAUAUUAUUGUCGGAUUUCCAUGUUCAGUUAUUCACACUAUAUUAUUGCUUGAUUCUGAUAGCUUGCUAUUAUUAGAGCAGGAAGGGUAUUCCUGGUGUGACAUUCAAAAGCAGUCAAAACGGUGAGGUUUAGAACGGAGGAGCUCCGUGGAAUUAUGGAUAAAAAAUUAUCCAUAACAUGUCUGUCAUUUCUCAUGUCGACCAAGGUAUGUGACCGAGCAGUGACAGUUGUCUCUAAUUAUCAAUUUUAUAUAGAGUCUUCUUGAUUGAUGAUUUUGUAGCCUUCUCUUAGUUGUACCAUAUUAAUUCUUAAAACUGGAUCAUUUAAAAUUAGUUAGAUUUAAUGAGUUGUUCCACUGUUUCCAAAUAAGUAGUUUAAGCCCUUAUUGUGUUCUGGAGCUUAUUCUUUCUGCCUUUUUAUGAUUGAUAUAUGCUCUCACAAGCUUAAAUGUAACUAUUGACAUAUAAUCUCAUGGCUCAAAGUCAUAGUUGAAUGUAUUAAAAUUUAUAAGAUUUGGAGUUUGCACUAUAAUUUCAUCCAGCGGUAUUCCCAAUAACUGAAUGUUAAGAGCACUGACGAUCCCAGGCUGUACAUUCAUGUACUGGGAAAUGCUUUUAUCUUGCACGCCAGUUUUACAUUUAUUUUUCAAUAACAAGAUGACCAUGAACAGGGUAUCAAGGUAUUUGCCUUGGCAUUACUAAUGUCGUGUUCAGAUUACUAAAAGAAGGAUUGAUAGCGGCAUACCUUAACUCGACUGAUGCUUUAACUACUGCCUCUCUAAGCCUUGAUUAGCCAUGGAGAUACUCAAGUUCCAAAGCCCCAAGUGAGGCUAUCCUUCUAAGAUCCGUUCAUCCCAAUUCAUUAAUUUGUUUGAAAUAUAUAUAUAUGUAUAUUCCAAUAUUGCUCAAUCUCCAGCUGGCCUCUAGGUUAUCAGAUGAAAUCCGGUUAAAUUUUAGGGAGGUUGAGUAGGAGUGUUUGGAACUAAAGGCUUUGUUGUUGUUUGAGUAGGAUUAUCUCCCUUUUCUGUAUAAAUUUUGUUGCUAUGAAUAGUUGCAUUGUUACGUCAAUGAAAAGUUCCUGGGCGUACUAUGUGUUCCUCUAGACUUGGUUGAAAGUAUUCCUUCUGUUAUCCAGUUUCUCACUACGCAUGUUACCUUUGUUGCUGAAUUUUGCCUAUAGUUUAUAUAUAGUAGACUCACAUGAUUACCUGAUGACUCAUUCAUGCAAGAACUAUUGUUAAUUUUUUCCUUUUCUGCAAUGAUGGUCGUAGUCCUUUGAUUCUACCAGCCGCAAAGGAGUGAAUGUAGAAAAUAUGUCCAUUGUCGUUGAAUUGGUGGGAUUGUCACCAAGUUAGUGCCGCAGAUUUCUAUUUUAGAGCAAGAAGCCAAAUCAUGUAGUUUCAUUGUAAAUCUUGAAAAACUUGUUUAUUGUCACUUCUAUAUCUGUUACAAGCUUUUUUUUUCAUGAUGUGGUACUUGUCAAUCUUGGUUUGCCCUUCCAUUUCAAGUCUGCCCUUAAAUUCCAGCAGACCAAAAAGUCCUUGUUUCUUCAAUUGGUUUCUCGUUUCAUGUUUGCACUUCUAUUACAGUACAAUAUUUCAUAAACAUGGCAUUGGUCAUUAUUUGUCCAGUUCCCUUCAAAAAAAGAAGAGAUGGCUAUAGAGAGUUGAUCCUUCUACAUAACAGAGCAGAGGAGUGGGAACUAUAAACAUGCCUCACUGAAGAGAUGAAAAAUGUUGUGCAAGGCAUUGGUUGUUAAGCUCCUUUAAAAAUGAAGGAAUUAUAGUGCAUCUGACCUAUAAAGGGGUUGUGAGGGACAAAACGCUAUGGAUUCAGAGUAGUGGGAGGGCACAGUUUACCAACGACGCAAGGACAAAGCGUGACCUUGAUUCCAAAGUUCCAGCUCACAUAGCAGAAUUGUAUAGAGAGGAUGCCUGCAUUUUGAAAACUCUGUUACAUAGUUUGAGGCUAUGUUUCUUUCAAUUUUCAUUAUUAAAAGGAUCCUUAUUAUUGCCAAAUUGUCAAUUAUUUUCAAAUAGCUCUUGGUUUGAAAUGGGACCAUGUGCCAUCUAGCGCAAUGGGUACUGUUAUUAUACAUUCUAUUAUUGACAACAAG